rnacentral:misc_RNA from 1 species
GAAAGGGAUACUUGCAGAUUUAUGACAGCAUCAAAGGAUUGCCUGAACACAAAAUUUUCUGCCCUGGUAAGAGGUACCCUAUUGUAAUCCGCCACAGCAAUAGCUUAAGUGCUGAUGAUGAUGCAAGGAUAGAUGCACGUGGUGCAGCAAUAAGAAUACUCUCAGAUGAAAAUGAACUUGGUAGUAACUCUUCCCUUCUUGACCUGACACUAAAAACAGGCAAGGCAUUUUAUGCCCGGACAAUUGCUGAUUUUGCAACAUGGCUAGUGUGUGGGCUUCCAGCCAGGGAGGAGUUUGUGAGGCGAGUUCCUCACGUCCGUGAUGCAGUGUGGAUGUCUCUUCGCAAUGCUAAUUCGUAUGCUGAGCUACAUUACUAUUCCAAUAUUUGCAGGCUAUUCAGGUUCACAGAUGGACAGGAGAUGUAUGUGAAAUUCAAACUGCGGCCUUUUGAUGAAGGCAUCAAUGAGGAUUCAGGUAAAGUGGAGCCUAUUGGAAUUCUUCCCCCAGAAACAGGCGCAAUUCCAAGGGAUGAUAAAGAUACCCGCCCCUUGCUUUUCCUUGCUGAAGAUUUCCAGCGCCGUGUAGGUUCAGCAGGUGGGGUUCGCUACAUUUUCCAGCUGCAAGUCCGGGCAGUUUCAAAUGAUGAAGCCAGCCGUGAUAUUGCACUUGAUUGCACCAAACCAUGGGAUGAGACUGAAUUCCCAUAUAUUGAUGUUGGAGAAAUUAUUAUAGAUCAAAAUCUCACCAGUGAAGAGUCAGAAAGGCUGGAGUUUAAUCCUUAUCUUCGAUGCCAUGAGCUGGAUGUUAUUGGUGCUACAUCAUGCUCCCAGAGUGCUUCAAUUGAUCAUGGUCGUUCAUUGAUCUAUGAAAUUUGUCAACAUUUGCGAAACGGGGAACCACUUCCAGAAGCCUGGAGAAUCUUUAUAGAACAAUCUGAUGUUAAUGUAGACCUCUCAGGCUGUCCAAUGGCUGCAAUGUUGGAGAAAAAAGACUUGGGAAAAGUGACUCUAGCAAGGACUUGGUAUCAGACCUCAUGGGCAACUUUUGGUCAACCAUUGCUACAAACAGUAUUUCCAUACUUCGUAAUGGGGUUGGUAAUCUUUGCUCCUCUGAAUUGGGUCCUUUGCUUGAAGGAAAGCAAGAAGCUAUCACUGCAUUGGCUGCUUCCAUUGGUUUGGGUUUCUUCAGGGAUUGUAGCAGCAUUAGCUUGUGUUGUGGGCAAAUGGAUUCUUGUGGGAAAGAAGAGAGAAGGUGAAACAGUGAUGAUUUGGAGUAAAGGAGUCUUCAUGGACACUGUAUGGCAGGCUAUUAGAACAAUAGUUGGGGACUAUUUCAUGGAAAUGACAAGUGGAUCUAUCUUUUUUAAUCUGUGGUUAAAGCUGAUGGGUUCAAAUAUUGAAUUGGAGCAGGGGGCAUAUGUAGAUAGCAUGGGAGCUGCAUUGAAUCCAGAAAUGGUGGAGAUAGAAAGAGGUGGAUGUGUAGGAAAAGAAGCACUUUUGUUUGGACACAUAUAUGAAGGUGAAGGAGGGAAGGUUAAAUUUGGUAAGAUAAGAAUUGGAGAAGGUGGGAUUAUUGGGAGCAGAGCUAUUGCAAUGCCUGGAGUAACAGUGGAAAGUGGAGGCAAUCUUAGUGCUCUGUCCCUUGCCAUGAAAGAAGAAAUAGUUAGGUGAAUUACUUUUUUGUAUCCAUCUGGCUGGUCUUCCCUGUAAAUUACCAUUAUGUGCCCAUCUGAGCGUUUUAAAAAACAAAAAGAAAUUUUUUAUUGAAACCGUCUCUGUCUGUGUCUGAUGUAUUGAUAUGCUAAUUUGAU